rnacentral:sRNA from 2 species
CCCAGAGGUAUUGAUAGGUGGUGUCAACUAUAAAGUUGACCACUUGAAUUACACCAACCUGCGCAGAUGCGCAGGUUUUUUUU